rfam:Tupaia chinensis contig1724, whole genome shotgun sequence.
AAGACUUCACAAUAGUUUGAUAGCCAUGUGCAGAAUGCUGAUUUGAGCCUCUCCCAAUUCUCUGGACCAGGCAGAGCUCAACAUUCCACUUUACCAUUGCCAUGGUUUCUGAUGGCAUUUGGCAUCACC